rnacentral:lncRNA from 1 species
GGAUGCCUAACACCUUCCCCCCGAGAUAAUUUCUAGCCCUUAACCAAACUCUGGUUCUUCAAUUCAAAACCCUUCUUAGUGUCAUAAUGCACUUAUCAUUUGGUGGAAAACUCUUCAAAUUCAAAACCCACUUCCCAAAAGGGAACGAGUUGUCCUUCCAAAUGUCAUAAAUCCAAUUUCGCCUUAGAAAAAGGGGGCAACGAUAUCAUGGCGACUCCGCUGGGG